rnacentral:rRNA from 1 species
GUAGGGGGCAAGCGUUAUCCGGAUUCAUUGGGCGUAAAGCGCUCGUAGGCGGUCUGUUAGGUCGGGAGUUAAAUCCGGAGGCUCAACCUCCGUYCGCUCCCGAUACCGGCAGACUUGAGUUUGGUAGGGGAAGGUGGAAUUCCUAGUGUAGCGGUGGAAUGCGCAGAUAUUAGGAAGAACACCAGUGGCGAAGGCGGCCUUCUGGGCCAUAACUGACGCUGAGGAGCGAAAGCUAGGGGAGCAAACAGGAUUAGAUACCCUGGUAGUCCUAGCUGUAAACGAUGGACACUAGGUGUGGGAGAAUACGUCUUCCGUGCCGCAGCUAACGCAUUAAGUGUCCCGCCUGGGGAGUACGGCCGCAAGGCUA